AAUGUUGAGGUGUCUAACUAACCCACCAACAAUUUCAAAAUUAAUGUUGCAUUUGACAGUUAUAGACUUCUAGGCCUUGCAGAACUUUGUCCUGGUAGCUCCUGCUGCUGGGACCAUGCAUGAGUAUAAUAGCAGAAGAAUUAGAAGCACAAUAAUUAACAAAUACUGUUCCUGCUUCAAGCACAUUUGACUUUGUCUUGAGUACUCUGACACACACAGCAUCACAGAAUACAUACACCCAUCCUUGUAUUUGAUCUUGCAUGUUCAUGUCUGGAACCUACCAUGGCUGUUGAUAGGGGAGAAUCUCAGAAACAGAAAGUGACCCUAAUUAAUUCUUUAAACUUUUUGUCCCUUUUCUAGAUCCAUCUGAGUAGACAGGGGAAGAAAAGAGAGUAUACAUGCACACACAUACCCUUUAUAUAUGAGAGGA
rnacentral:misc_RNA from 1 species